AAGGAUCAUUAUCGAGUCAGGGUCCUCUGGGCCCCAUCUCCAACCCUUGUCUAUUCUACCAUGUUGCUUCGGCGGGCCCGUCUUUAACCGGACCGCUGGGGAGUUCCCUCCCUGGCCUGUGCCCGUCAGUAGCCCCGAUUAAUUCUUCUCACAGUGACGUCUAAGCAACAGUAUAAUAAAUAAAACUUUCAACAACGGAUCUCUUGGUUCUGGCAUCGAUGAAGAACGCAGCGAAAUGCGAUAAGUAAUGCGAAUUGCAGAAUUCCGUGAGUCAUCGAAUCUUUGAACGCACAUUGCGCCCUCUGGUAUUCCGGAGGGCAUGCCUGUUCGAGCGUCAUUAUCAACCCUCAAGCUCGGCUUGUCGUUGGGUCACACCGUUGAAGAAACGGUGGAUCCAAAAGAUAAUGGCAGAGUCCGUGGGACCCCGAAUGCAGCGAGCUCUUUGGCACGCAUCUGGACGGUCUUCGGGCUCGGUCUGAACCAUCUUACUUUUCUGGUUGACCUCGGAUCAGGUAGGGAUACCCGCUGAACUUAA
rnacentral:rRNA from 1 species